AUUAAAAAAAAAUGUUCUUGGAUCACUAUAAAUACACCCUUUGAUAUCCUCCAGUUUCACAAUUAAUUAAAGUAUUUCAAAGAGAUCUUAGAAAUGGCUAGCAAAAUAACUUUCUGUGCUGUGCUCUUUUGCUUUCUUCUCAUGUUUGCUUCUGAAAUGCAGACAACAGAAGCAAAAUACUGUGGGAAACCUAGCAAAGGCUGGCAUGGGAAAUGUUUUCCCAAAAAAUGUGACCAUUGGUGCAAGACUAAGGAACAUGGAGCCUAUUAUGGGAGUUGUUACAAGGGAUAUUGCUACUGUUACUACAAAUGUUGAAAAAUAAAUGGAUCACAAUAUAUGGCCAUAUACAGGCCUAUCUUAUGGCACAGUGUGUCUUAAACAAUAUGUGGUUGAAUAAAUGCUGCUAUCAAUUUCAUGGUUGAUUGCAGCAAGAUCAUAUUUUUUAUGGUCUUAAUGUUUGUAACUUGAUGUUUUUAUAUAUGAAAUAUAUGGUAUUAUUGUGUA